CAGAGAGAGAGGAAACGGCAUUGUCUAGAAAAAUCUAGAAGAGACGAAGAGAGAAAAAAAAGAAAAAAAAAAGAAAAAGGAAAGAAAUAGAAGAAGAAGAAGAAGAAGAAGAAGAAGAAAGAGGUGGCCGUUCUUUCUAUGUUUCUGGUUUUUCUUAGUUCUUCUCAUCUUCAAGAGUGUUGAAGAAAGUGGAAAUUUGAGAUGAAGAAUGAAUUGGGCAGAAAAAAAAGGGCAAAAAGAAGGAGAAAAAGAGAAAGAAAAGAGGAGAGAAAGAAGAAAAGGAAGGAAAAGAAAAAGAAAGGAAAAGAGGUAGUGGCUAUUCCAAUUUCAUUUUCAAUUUGUCUAAUUUCUUUAAAAGAUAUGGUAUGUUUUAUGCUUAAAUUUUUAGAGUUUUGAUUUUAUUUGUUUAAUUUUCAGAUUUUAAGGAAGGAAUAUAUAUGUUUUCAAGUCAAUGUUUUUGAAUUGGAGAUGCUAUUUACACUAAGGUAAGAAAUACCAAUUUUUGGCAAAAUCCUAGAAUUUUCAUUUGGGUUUUUGAAUGAGUUUAGUUAACGGGAAAAAUUUUAAGGAUGAAAUACUAUUUGAAGGCAUGAAUUUAUUGCUCAAAAUGGGAAAUUAAAUUGGUUAAAUUAUGAUUAUUAAUUUUACUAGUUUGAAAGAAGGAAUUAUUUUUAUGUUUGGAGUGAAGAUUAUUGUAAUGAAUUAGUUAUUAAGAAAUAGACCAGAAUGUGGAAUUAGCUUGAAGUGAUUAAAGGAAAUUGGAGAAAAUAUUAUUCAAGUAUCGAGAAGUCAAGUUUUAGUAUUCGAUUACUAGUAUUAAGAAAUACUAAGUAUCGAAGUUGUUAAAUUAGUUAUUUUAUAUCCUAUUUCAGGUGGUAACGUGAAAGCUGGGCAAGAUUGGUAAAAUUGAACCAGAUUGCUAUUCAUAGAUCUGUGAGUGGAAAAUCUACGUUUUCAAAAAGAAGAUUUCCUUUUUAUUUUAUAGAAGCAUGUUAAUUACAUGAAAUGCCUUAUUUUCGAGAAUUAGUAAAUGAGCAUGAUUGUUUUGAAAUUAUCAUUAAAUAAUUGAUGUGAUUAUCUUACUCUAGUGCGCCGAGGGGUUGCGGCUGUGUACUAGAGUCAUGUAUUUAACUCCUAUAGACUGAGGGGCUAUGGCCGUUUAUAAGGAUGAUUAUGUUAUUUCCAUCUUGUACACUGAGGGGCUACGGCCGUGUACUAGAGUUAUGUAUAUAACUCCUAUACACUGAAGGGUUAUAGUCAUGUAUAAGGGUAACUCUUAUCCAUUGAGGGGCUACGGCUGUGUAUAAGGGUACCUAUUAUACACUGAGGGGCUAUAGCCGUGUAUAAGGAUGAUUAUGUUUUUUUCAUCUUAUACACUGAGGGGCUACGACCGUGUACAGAGUGUUGAUCCGAUGGUUUAUGUGCAUAUGAUUUUAUAGUUUUCAGAUCAUCAGUAGAUGAUUACAUGGAGUAUAUUUUGAUGUGAAUUUUAAGUAUAGAGUGGAUUAUUAGCUUUCAGCUUACAUUUUCCCAUUUACAGUUCAGCUUGUGGAUUUCAGAUUAUGAUUUUAGCUUAUUGAAUUUGUCUAAUGUUCUCACUCAUCUUGUAUUAAUUAUUAUUAUAUUUCUUUUAUAUAUCAGCUUGAGUCUAAUUUAUGAUUUAGCACCAGAAUUUUGAGUUUAUACGAUGUUAUGAUACAUACAUCAAGAAUAAUGAGUACAUUAAGGUAAAUGCAGCUCUACGUAUGUAUGACCAGAUUAUAGAAUUCAGUUAUUCAGUUCUAAGAAUAAAGCUUUCAGUUUAUAGUAUUAAGUAACAACAAUAUUUCAUAGAUUUUCAUGGGUACCAAAAUUUGUUAUACUUUACAGUUAUUUAUCUCGAAUAAAGAACAAAGAAUCUUAUGAUGCAGUCAUGUUUUAGUUUUAAAGGUUUUAUCAGAUUUCAGAAUUCUCAAAGUUUUAAUAGAGCAAGAAUUUUAAGAAAAUAUGCAUAAAUGAAAAAAGUUUACUUAUUUGCAAAUUAUCCACUCACUGAGCUAUUAGCUCAUAUUUCUUUUACCCUUUUUCCUUAUCAGACAGAUAGNUCAAUUGUUUAAUGAUGGAGUUUACAAUGGAUUUAUCUAGUAUUUAAGAAUGUAUUAUCUACUUCUAAGGCUUGGUGAAUAGAUAUCAGAUCUAACUUAUGCUUUAAGAUUACUAGUGAAGUUAAAGAGAGCUCAACUUAGGAAAAAUCCAAAUAAAGAUGAAACAUAUGAAAGAACGAAUUAUCUCUAGUUCAAGAUUGCUAGAAAAAUCAUUUAUCGUUUGCGUUUUAUGCCUUUAUGUGUUCGAAUUCUAGUUCUCUGAAUUUCGAUUAUGAAAUUCUUUUAAGGAGGUAAGAUUGUUACAACCCAAUUUUUCUUAGUCAAAAAUCAAAGGUUGACUAGUCAAAGUCAAAGUCAAAGACAAUAGGGACUUAAGUUGAACAAAUGAUUUUCAUGGGACUUAGAUUGUAAUUUGGAGUACUUGAGGGCUAGAAAUGAUAUGAUAAAUGAAUCCAAGGAUUUAGUUUUUAUUAUGGGAAAAUGAAAGGACUAAAUGUUAUAUUAAAUUGGAGAAGAGGGACUUAUUUUGCAAAUUUGAGUCGUGGCCCAUUAAAAACCCGUUUCUUUCCGAUUCAUUUACACAAAUAUAUACACAGAGAGAGAGAGGAAACGGCACUAUCUGUAAAAAUUGAGAAGAGAGGAAGAGAAAAAAAAAAGAAAAGGAAAGAAAUAGAAGAAAAAGAAGAAGAAAGAUGUGGCCAUUCUUUCUAAGCUUCGGGCUUUCCUUAGUUCUUCUCAUCUUCAAGAGUGUUGAAGAAAGUGGAAAUUUGAGAUGAAGAAUGAAUUGGGCAGGAAAAAACGACAGAAAGAAGGAGAAAAAGAGAAAGAAAAGAGGAGAGAGAAGAAAAGGAAGGAAAGGAAAAAGAAAGGAAAAGAGGUAGUGGUUAUUCCAAUUUCAUUUUCAAUUUGUCUAAUUCCUUUAAAAGAUAUGGUAUGUUUUAUGCUUAAAUUUUUAUAGUUUUGAUUUUAUUUGUUUAAUUUUCAGAUUUUAAGGAAUGAAUAUAUAUGUUUUCAAGUCAAUAUUUUUGAAUUGGAGAUACUAUUUACACUAAGGUAAAAAAUAUCAAUUUUGGGCAAAACCCUAGAGAAUUUUCAUUUGGAUUUUUGAAUGAGUUCAGUUAACGGGAAAAAUUGUAAGGAUGAAAUACUCAUUUGAAGGCAUGAAUUUAUGGAUCAAGAUGGGAAAUUAAAUUGGUUAAAUUAUGAUUAUUAAUUUUACUAGUUUGGAAGAAGGAAUUAUUUUUAUGUUUGGAGUGAAGAUUAUUGUAAUGAAUUAGCUAUUAAGAAAUGGACUAGAAAGUGGAAUUAGCUUGAAGUGAUUAAAGGAAAUUGGGGAAAAUAUUAUUGAAGUAUCGAAAAGUCAAGUUUUAGUACUUGAUUACUAGUAUUAAGAAAUACUUAGUAUGGAAGUUGUUAAAUUAGUUAUUUUAUAUCAUAUUUCAGGUGGUAACGUGAAAGCUGGACAAGGUUGGUAAAAUUGAACUAGAUUGCUAUUUUUCUGUGAGUGGAAAAAUAUAAAUAUUUUAAAAGUAUUUAUAAAUUAAGUAUAUUGUUAAAGUAUGUGCAAUUAUAUGAAACUAUGUGUUCGAAUUAUAUGGUUAUUAUGAGAAUAUCUUUUAUUAUAAUACAUAUGAGAUUUCAAAGAUUGCAUACGUUACAUUGUGAAUUGGAAUAUGAGAUAUGAUUUUGAGAUCGACCAGAAAAGUACGUGUGAUUAUAUAUUUCUUCUAGUUCACUGAUGAGCCUUGGUCGUGUUCUAUACUAAAUUGAGGGGUCUUGGACCGGAGAUGAAGGGGUCUCGACCAUGUAUAUAUAGUUUACUGAAGGGCAUUGACCGUAUUAUAGAAUUGAUUAUGAGAGUUCUUUGAGAUCGACCUUCGUUCACGGAGGGGCCAAAUGCCCGUAGCGAAAGUUCUUAACCCGAGGGGCAGAUUAUAUAUUUCAAUCAGAUGGUACAUUUUUGAUGGAUUUUUCAGCACGUUUGAUGUGAUGAGAUUAUAACAUGGUUAUCAGCUGAUAUUUAUAUCAUGAUUUUGAGAUGAUAUUUUACAAGCUUAUGUGAAUAUUUCACUUUUGGUUAUAAUUACAUGAUGUUAUUUUGUGAAUUAUUAAAUGAUAUGAACUCGAUUUUCGAUAGAAAUAUUUCACUUUUGGUUAUAAAGAAUGUAUGGUUGAAAAGAAGAUAGAGAAAAAUGCAUUUUGAAAAAAAUGACUACCAAACGAGGCCUAAAUGUUGUUGCAGUAAAAUUUUUAGUUAUUAGCUAAUUUGUCUUUAAAAAAAUAAAAUAAAAAAAUCAACAUUUAAAAUUUGAGAAAUAUGAAUAUUUUGUUGGAGAAUUUAGUACGUGUUCAUCAACCUCCUUAAAGAUCUUUAUUUUAUACAUGUCAUUUGAGGUUUGACAUGUUAAUAUAACUUAAAGUUAGCCAAAGCAUUUUCAAAUAAUUUUAAGUCGUGC
rnacentral:lncRNA from 1 species